rnacentral:snRNA from 1 species
AUAUUUACCUGGCAGGGGGGAUACCAUGAUCACGAAGGUGGUUUUCCCAGGGCGAGGCUUAUCCAUUGCACUCCAGAUGUGCUGACCCCUGUGAUUUCCCCAAAUGUGGGAAACUUGACUGCAUAAUUUGUGGUAGUGGGGGACUGCGUUCGCACUUUCCCCUG